rnacentral:tRNA from 1 species
AAAAUUUUAGUUUAUAAAAAAUAUUUUUUUUACAAUAAAAAGAAAAUUUAUUUAAUUAAAUUUUA